rnacentral:rRNA from 1 species
AUUGAACGCUGGCGGCAGGCUUAACACAUGCAAGUCGAGCGGGGGAGGUUGCUUCGGUAACUGACCUAACGGCGGACGGGUGAGUAAUGCUUAGGAAUCUGCCUAUUAGUGGGGGACAACAUUCCGAAAGGAAUGCUAAUACCGCAUACGCCCUACGGGGGAAAGCAGGGGAUCUUCGGACCUUGCGCUAAUAGAUGAGCCUAAGUCGGAUUAGCUAGUUGGUGGGGUAAAGGCCUACCAAGGCGACGAUCUGUAGCGGGUCUGAGAGGAUGAUCCGCCACACUGGGACUGAGACACGGCCCAGACUCCUACGGGAGGCAGCAGUGGGGAAUAUUGGACAAUGGGCGGAAGCCUGAUCCAGCCAUGCCGCGUGUGUGAAGAAGGCCUUUUGGUUGUAAAGCACUUUAAGCGAGGAGGAGGCUCUUAAGGUUAAUACCCUUGAUGAGUGGACGUUACUCGCAGAAUAAGCACCGGCUAACUCUGUGCCAGCAGCCGCGGUAAUAC